UAUACAUCCCAGAACCACGGGAUUAUUUGGUCAAGUAGAAAACUCACCCCUCUCGCUAUCUCUGUCCCUCUUGCAUCGCUUGCUCUUUAAUCUGAAUCCCAGGUUAUAUUCAACAAGGGGAAAUUGAAAGUGCAUUUAAUUUAUUUUAUAGACUCCUGCCAUCUGGAAUAUCAAGCAUGCUGGGUGCAGGUGCUGAUUUGGCUGCAACAAGAUCUGGAGAACAUAUCCAAGGAUAUGCUGUAAAAAGCUGGAGUUGGUAAAUUCACCAUUGUUCCAUGUUCAUCAAUCAUCAAAUGUUCUCUUUAAAAUAAUAAUAUUUUUAAGUCUUUCUUA